rnacentral:rRNA from 1 species
UACGGAGGGUGCAAGCGUUAUCCGGAUUCACUGGGUUUAAAGGGUGCGUAGGCGGACAGGUAAGUCAGUGGUGAAAUCUCUGGGCUUAACCCAGAAACUGCCGUUGAUACUAUUUGUCUUGAAUAUCCUGGAGGUAGGCGGAAUAUGUCAUGUAGCGGUGAAAUGCUUAGAUAUGACAUAGAACACCGAUAGCGAAGGCAGCUUACUACAGGAUGAUUGACGCUGAGGCACGAAAGCGUGGGGAGCAAACAUG